UAUGUGAUCGUCUCUCGCAUAUCAAUAAGCGGAGGAAAAGAAACUAACAAGGAUUCCCCUAGUAACGGCGAGUGAAGCGGGAAGAGCUCAAAUUUGAAAUCUUAAAGGGUUUCCCUUUACGAAUUGUAGUUUAAAGAAGUGUUUUCUGUUGAGGUUUUGGUAAAAGUUCUUUGGAAUAGGACAUCAUAGAGGGUGAGAAUCCCGUAUUUGACCUUUACUUUCAACUUUGUGAUACACCUUUCAAAGAGUCGGAUUGUUUGGGAAUGCAGUCCAAAAUGGGUGGUAAAUUUCAUCUAAAGCUAAAUAUUGGCGAGAGACCGAUAGCGAACAAGUACCGUGAGGGAAAGAUGAAAAGAACUUUGAAAAGAGAGUUAAACAGUACGUGAAAUUGUCAAAAGGGAAGCGUUUGACACCAGUGUUGUUUUUCUGAAAAUCAAUUAAAGAACUGUUUAUGCUAAGUUGUUUAGACUUUAUCAGCUAUCUGCUUAGUUUUAGGCUUUUCUUUAAUGCACUUUUCAGUUAACAAGUCAACAUCAAUUUCUUUUGCUGUAAAAAAGCUUGAGGAAGGUGGCUUGAGAUUCGUCUUAAGUGUUUAUAGCCUCUUGCCUAUGCAGUCGGAGAGAUUGAGGUCUGCAGCGUAGAUCCUUCGGGGCUAAAUGCAUUUGUGCUAAGUUAUAGCAUUUUAUAGACAACUUGUUGACUAUGAUUUGUCUUGUAGCUUACUCGCUUAUGUUAUUUUACCUACGCUUAGGAUGUUGAUCUACAGAGCGAGAGU
rnacentral:rRNA from 1 species